rnacentral:rRNA from 1 species
UAGGGAAACUUCCGCAAUGGGCGAAAGCCUGACGGAGCAACGCCGCGUGAGUGAUGAAGGUCUUCGGAUCGUAAAACUCUGUUAUUAGGGAAGAACAAAUGUGUAAGUAACUAUGCACGUCUUGACGGUACCUAAUCAGAAAGCCACGGCUAACUACGUGCCAGCAGCCGCGGUAAUACGUAGGUGGCAAGCGUUAUCCGGAAUUAUUGGGCGUAAAGCGCGCGUAGGCGGUUUUUUAAGUCUGAUGUGAAAGCCCACGGCUCAACCGUGGAGGGUCAUUGGAAACUGGAAAACUUGAGUGCAGAAGAGGAAAGUGGAAUUCCAUGUGUAGCGGUGAAAUGCGCAGAGAUAUGGAGGAACACCAGUGGCGAAGGCGACUUUCUGGUCUGUAACUGACGCUGAUGUGCGAAAGCGUGGGGAUCAAACAGG